GACGAACGCUGGCGGCGUGCUUAACACAUGCAAGUCGAACGAAGUGGCGCACGGGUGAGUAACGUGUAAUCAACAUGCCCUUCAGAGGGGGACAACACUUGGAAACGACUGCUAAUACCGCAUACUGAAGGAGGGGAUUGCGUCUGAUUAGCUAGUUGGAGGGGUAACGGCCCACCAAGGCGAUGAUCAGUAGCCGGGCUGGGAGGAUGAACGGCCACAUUGGGACUGGGACACGGCCCAGACCCCUACGGGAGGCAGCAGUGGGGAAUCUUCCGCAAUGGGCGAAAGUCUGACUGAGCAACGGCGCGUGAGUGGUGACGGGCUUCGGGUUGUAAAGCUCUGUUAAGCGGGACGCGGUACCGGAAUAGAAAGCAACGGCUAACUACGUGCCAGCAGCCGCGGUAAUAC
rnacentral:rRNA from 1 species